rnacentral:rRNA from 1 species
UACGUAGGGUGCAAGCGUUAAUCGGAAUUACUGGGCGUAAAGCGUGCGCAGGCGGUGAUGUAAGACAGAUGUGAAAUCCCCGGGCUCAACCUGGGAACUGCAUUUGUGACUGUAUCGCUGGAGUACGGCAGAGGGGGAUGGAAUUCCGCGUGUAGCAGUGAAAUGCGUAGAUAUGCGGAGGAACACCGAUGGCGAAGGCAAUCCCCUGGGCCUGUACUGACGCUCAUGCACGAAGCGUGGGAGCAACAGG